ACCAAUUAAGACAGCUCCCAUCAUUUGCCCAUUCUGCAUGACAACUUUGACAUAUUCUUGUCCUUUGGUACAUCUCAGCAUUAAUUCAUGAUCUGAACCUAAACCUUGGGCAUUGUAUUUUCCCAGCAACACAACCUAAAUGUAGGAAUAAAAACAUAAAGGAAACACUGUAUGUAGUUAUACUGUGUUAUGCUAGAGUGGCCAGCAAGAAAAUCUAUUCAUGAAAAUUGGGGAGUGUCUCAAAGAAAACAUUUGAAUGGCACUGCAUUAAUGUAUGGAUGACACCACCACACAAUCUCCAUGAACAUUAAAAACAUCUAGUGAAUUAACUAUGUAGGAUCUGGACUACAUCAGCUUAGAAUCAUGAAGAAAAAACUUGCCUCAGAGUAAAGAGGAGUAAAUAGUACGUAUGGCAAAGCAGGUGGUUCAUAAAUAAUAAACAAACAUAUAUUUCUUUAUUUUUAGAGAACAGGGUAGAGGACCAGAGUCCCAAGCAAACUCCAUGCUAAGCACACAGCCGGAUGUGGGGCGCAAUCUCAUAUCUCUGAGAUCAGGACCUGAGCUGAAACCAAGACUUUCAAAAACCCAAGAGCUGGAAUACCACAUAUCUUGAAAUAGGAGUCAUGGGCCAGAUGGGUAACCAUAUGAGUGAAGCAGGGAAGAACUCACGAAUUAGAGCUGCUUUAGAGAAACAACUGCAAACUCUACUGCCCAUCUUGCCUGAAGCUCAUCUGAGGAUACUGCUGAUCACCUGGCAACACCCUUUCCAGAGCCUGCUGUCUGCAUUCCCAUGUGCAGUGGGUUACUGGGUCCUGCUGAGUUUAUAGCGGAAAUGUCACUCAUAUCUGGGCUGUUCUUUCCCAUUACACUGUCCCUGUCUUAGUUCAGGCCUUCUACCAUCCUGGAUCACUGUAGCCACCUUCUGAUCUGGUUGCUGGCCACAAGCCACUCACACCACCUUAUCCUUAAUACUGCUAUCAGAUCUGCCUUCCUAGGACAGUAUAUCAUCACUCUGCCUCCACUGAUGAUAAAUGAAUUUCCUGGCAUGAUGCAAACAGCUCUUUGCAGCCCUGUUUGGCCUCAUCUGCCCAUCUCCUUUCCUUGUCCCCACCUAGAGUCCUCUGACAGCGUCACUCAUCCAUAUGCCCCCUUCCUUUGCUUUCAGCCUUUGAAUAAGCAACCUCCUUUUCUUUCCUACAAUGCCCCUAAUUAAGAACUCUUACUUCACUCACCUUUUAAACCUGUUCAAACAUUACUCCCUCUGUGAAGUCCUCCCAAAUCCCUCAUAUCAGCCCUUUGAUAAGAGUUCAGUGACUGUGCUUUGCAUGUCCCUAGCAUCAUAUGCGUGCACGCGUAUAUUCCCCACAACACUGGGAGCUCCCAGGGCAGGUUCACUGUAAUGUUCCCGUCCCAGCACUUAACAUGGUGCCCAGAACAAAGUAGACACCAUACAAACAUUAAUGCUUAUGUAAAAUGUAAAACCGAAAAUGCUAAAUCAAACUAAUUAUAUAAUCCCAAUAAACUCACAAGAUGUGUAAGUUUUCCCAGUAAUAAUACAAAUCAAUGUUACUAAACUUUAUAUGCUAGGGCCCUUGGCCAUGGUGGGGGUACAGAUGGGGUCAAAAGAAAGCAGGCGAAAACUCAUCAAGAUUGAACAGUGGAUAGUCAUUAAGGAAAAAAAAAAUCCUCUUACAUGUUCUUUACUUUUCAGUUGCUUUACUUCGGAUUGUAUAACCUUAACGUUGGGAAAGCGAUUUUCUAACAUGGUUUUCGGUUGCUCUUCAACAUCAAACUCCUCUAAUACUUUAGAAACCUGUAUUAAAUCCGAAAGGUAAAAAUGUAUGUUUUUAAUGUUUCCUUUUAAAAAAUUUAAAUAAUAAAAAUACCGUCACUUCUUUUUAUA